rnacentral:rRNA from 1 species
UCCGGUUGAUCCUGCCAGACCUGAUUGCUAUCGGAUUGGUACUAAGCCAUGCGAGUAAGUGUAGCAAUACACUGCAGACGGCUCAGUAACACGUGGUCAAGCUAACCUAUGGACGUGGAUAACCUCGGGAAACUGAGAAUAAACCGCGAUAGAUCAUGAUGCCUGGAAUGGCUUAUGGUCGAAAUAGUUUACUGCCGUAGGAUGCGACUGCGGCCUAUCAGUUUGUUGGUGAGGUAAUGGCCCACCAAGACUAUUACAGGUACGGGCUCUGAGAGGAGAAGCCCGGAGAUGGGUACUGAGACACGGACCCAGGCCCUAUGGGGCGCAGCAGGCGAGAAACCUUAGCAAUGUGCGAAAGCACGACUGGGUUAGUCCGAGUGAUUCCUGCUAAAGGAAUCUUUUACCGGUCCUAAAAGCACCGGCGAAUAAGGGGUGGGCAAGUCUGGUGUCAGCCGCCGCGGUAAUACCAGCACCUCGAGUGAUCAGGACGUUUAUUGGGCCUAAAGCAUCCGUAGCUGGCUUUGCAAGUCUCCGGUUAAAUCAACCUGCUCAACAGAUUGGCCGCUGGAGAUACUACAAGGCUAGGGAGUGGGAGAGGCAGACGGUAUUCGGGGGGUAGGGGUAAAAUCCUCUGAUCCUCUGAGGACCACCAGUGGCGAAGGCGGUCUGCCAGAACACGUUCGACAGUGAGGGAUGAAAGCUGGGGGAGCAAACCGGAUUAGAUACCCGGGUAGUCCCAGCUGUAAACGAUGCAAACUCGGUGAAGCAUUGGCUUAAUGCUAAUGCUGUGCCGCAGGGAAGCCGUUAAGUUUGCCGCCUGGGAAGUACGGUCGCAAGAUUGAAACUUAAAGGAAUUGGCGGGGGAGCACCACAAGGGGUGAAGCCUGCGGUUCAAUUGGACUCAACGCCGGG